rnacentral:siRNA from 1 species
GUUUCACUCUUUCCUUAUUGGUC